GCCAGACUCCUACGGGAGGCAGCAGUGGGGGAUAUUGCACAAUGGGGGGAACCCUGAUGCAGCGACGCCGCGUGGGUGAAGGAGCGUUUCGGCGCGUAAAGCCCUCUCGGCAGGGAAGAAGGAGGACGGUACCUGACUAAGAAGCCCCGGCUAACUACGUGCCAGCAGACGCGGGAAUACGUAGGGGGCAAGCGUUAUCCGGAUUUACUGGGUGUAAAGGGGGCGCAGACGGCAGCGCAAGCCAGGAGUGAAAGCCCGGGGCCCAACCCCGGGACUGCUCUUGGAACUGCGCGGCUGGAGUGCAGGAGGGGCAGGCGGAAUUCCUGGUGUAGCGGUGAAAUGCGUAGAUAUCAGGAGGAACACCGGUGGCGAAGGCGGCCUGCUGGACUGCGACUGACGUUGAGGCCCGAAAGCGUGGGGAGCAAACAGGAUUAGAUACCCGAGUAAA
rnacentral:rRNA from 1 species